rnacentral:rRNA from 1 species
GUUAAACGGCCGCGGUACCCUAACCGUGCGAAGGUAGCGCAAUCACUUGUUCUUUAAAUAAGGACUAGUAUGAACGGCAUCACGAGGAUUAUACUGUCUCCCCCCCUAAAUCAAUGAAACUGAUCCCCCCGUGAAGAAGCGGGGAUAAAUAUAUAAGACGAGAAGACCCUAUGGAGCUUUAAACUCAACACCACUUACCUCAACUGAUCCCCUUACAAACAGGUAAAGAUCGUGUAUGUUUUCAGUUGGGGUGACUGCGGAGCAAAAUAAAACCUCCACGAUGAAAAAUAACCUCUAAUCCAAGAACAACAUUUCAAAGAAUCAACAAAUUGACAUCAAUUGACCCAAAUAAUAAUUUGAUCAACGAACCAAGUUACCCUAGGGAUAACAGCGCAAUCCAUUUCAAGAGCUCAUAUCGACAAAUGGGUUUACGACCUCGAUGUUGGAUCAGGGUAUCCCAGUGGUGCAGCCGCUACUAAAGGUUCGUUUGUUCAACGAUUAAAACCC